AUGGAAACAAGUCGUCUUAGUAGCGAUGGCCGCAAGCGAUAUGUUGGCGGCUUUGAUUAUCCUCUGUUUGUCGAAUCCAGUAUCACAUACAAAACAUUGUUGUGCAAGUUGUCUGAUACCUAUCCCUGGGGGUGCCGUGAUUCUGUGGAGUUGAAGUACUACGAGAGGGAACAGAAUAUAUGGGUUGAUGUUGCAUGUGAUGAUGAUGCAGCUUUGAUGUUUGGAAAGCAUCAAGAUUCAAAGAAAAUAUCUAUGCUAAUUGAGGUUCUUCAGAAAUCUCCAACUCCCAGCACACCGAACCGCAAUCCACCUACACAGCCUUCUUAUAGUGAGAGUCAACAUACAGGGAGUCAGGCAGUCUACUAG
rnacentral:rRNA from 1 species